UACAUAGGGGGCAAGCGUUAUCCGGAAUUAUUGGGUGUAAAGGGUGCGUAGACGGGAGUGUAAGUUAGUUGUGAAAUCCCUCGGCUCAACUGAGGAACUGCAACUAAAACUGUACUUCUUGAGUAUCGGAGAGGAAAGUAGAAUUCCUAGUGUAGCGGUGAAAUGCGUAGAUAUUAGGAGGAAUACCAGUGGCGAAGGCGACUUUCUGGACGAAGACUGACGUUGAGGCACGAAAGUGUGGGGAG
rnacentral:rRNA from 1 species